rnacentral:rRNA from 1 species
AGUGAACGCUGGCGGUAGGCCUAACACAUGCAAGUCGAACGGCAGCACAGUAAGAGCUUGCUCUUACGGGUGGCGAGUGGCGGACGGGUGAGGAAUACAUCGGAAUCUACUUUUUCGUGGGGGAUAACGUAGGGAAACUUACGCUAAUACCGCAUACGACCUACGGGUGAAAUCAGGGGAUCUUCGGACCUUGCGCGAUUGCAUGAGCCGAUGUCGGAUUAGCUAGUUGGCGGGGUAAAGGCCCACCAAGGCGACGAUCCGUAGCUGGUCUGAGAGGAUGAUCAGCCACACUGGAACUGGAACACGGUCCAGACUCCUACGGGAGGCAGCAGUGGGGAAUAUUGGACAAUGGGCGCAAGCCUGAUCCAGCCAUACCGCGUGGGUGAAGAAGGCCUUCGGGUUGUAAAGCCCUUUUGUUGGGAAAGAAAAGCAGCAGGUUAAUACCCCGCUGUUCUGACGGUACCCAAAGAAUAAGCACCGGCUAACUUCGUG